CAGUCGCCGCGGUAAUACAGAGGGUGCAAGCGUUAAUCGGAAUUACUGGGCGUAAAGCGAGCGUAGGUGGCUUGAUAAGUCAGAUGUGAAAUCCCCGGGCUUAACCUGGGAACUGCAUCUGAUACUGUUAGGCUAGAAUAGGUGAGAGGAAGGUAGAAUUCCAGGUGUAGCGGUGAAAUGCGUAGAGAUCUGGAGGAAUACCGAUGGCGAAGGCAGCCUUCUGGCAUCAUAUUGACACUGAGGUUCGAAAGCGUGGGUAGCAAACAGGAUUAGAUACCCCAGUAGUCCCUGUCUCUUAUAA
rnacentral:rRNA from 1 species